GCUAUUCUCUUAAAGAGACAGACUUAUGAACUACAGAGAAAGCUCUGCGUGGAGUCUCCACACAACCAUAACUCAAGAUUUAAGGCGUGGUCGUUUGAAAUAUCAGAGAGCACAGCUUCAGUUCCUUCUUUCUAUUUCAUUAAUAACUAACAAUGGCUGCUGCUGAACUGCAGAGACGAGAAGAAUUCCUGGUAGAGGGAGAGCCUUUCAGACAGAAUGCUUUCCUGAUUAUCAAUGAAAUGGUUGCCAUGGAGAGGCAGAAACCUAAUAGGGUGUUAGUGGAUGAGGUUCUUCACAGCAUCUUCUUUUUGGGAAAGAUCAACACGCCGCCAUAUUCACCCAGAAAGGAUUCUGAGUGAUGCUGAUUUGAUAAGUGAAUUUAAGAUCCGAUCCCUCUACCUUUUGAGAAAUGUUCCUCUGAGGUACCCAGGAGGAGUCCAUUUUCAUGUGUGCUCGACAUGGUUGUCGACCUGACUGGACAAGUCAAUGAAGGAGCAAUCAGACAGCAGCUGCAACAGCUCGUCGGUGAACUGAGGGGGGAUAUUAACAAAAAGCCUCUGGUCUCCAAAACCAUCUGUGUCUCUCAGAGUAAAAGCCCAGGUUCAGUCAGGUACUACGGAGUCUCCAUGUCCACUGAUGCCACUGGACCAAGAAAGUCCUGAUUGGUGCUUCCUGUCUCAGCAAGUGGG